UUGACUGAAAAUUUUAUAAAUAAAUUGUUUGAGCUGUUUAAGUAAUGAAUUAAGUCUGUUAACACCUCGUGUUCGACUCCAACGACGGUCUCGGGUACGGGGCGUUACAGUAAACACCCUCUUAUUAACACUUAAUUCCCAACUGAUAAUUAUUACCUGCCUUGAUUUGAACAAAAGUGGUUUAUCCGCCUUAAAAUGCUAACUAAGAUGAACUUCAAG
rnacentral:lncRNA from 1 species